GUCUACGGCCAUACCACCCUGAACGCGCCCGAUCUCGUCUGAUCUCGGAAGCUAAGCAGGGUCGGGCCUGUUAGUACUUGGAUGGGAGACCGCCUGGAAUACCGGGUGCUGUAGGCU
rnacentral:rRNA from 1 species